rnacentral:rRNA from 1 species
AGAGUUUGAUCCUGGCUCAGAUUGAACGCUGGCGGCAGGCCUAACACAUGCAAGUCGAACGGUAACAUUUCUAGCUUGCUAGAAGAUGACGAGUGGCGGACGGGUGAGUAAUGCUUGGGAACUUGCCUUUGUGAGGGGGAUAACAGUUGGAAACGACUGCUAAUACCGCAUAACGUCUACGGACCAAAGGGGGGGAUCUUCGGACCUCUCGCCAUUUGAUUAGCCCAAGUGAGAUUAGCUAGUUGGUGAGGUAAUGGCUCACCAAGGCGACGAUCUCUAGCUGGUUUGAGAGGAUGAUCAGCCACACUGGGACUGAGACACGGCCCAGACUCCUACGGGAGGCAGCAGUGGGGAAUAUUGCACAAUGGGCGAAAGCCUGAUGCAGCCAUGCCGCGUGUGUGAAGAAGGCCUUCGGGUUGUAAAGCACUUUCAGUUGUGAGGAAAGGGAUGUAGUUAAUAGCUGCAUUCUGUGACGUUAACAACAGAAGAAGCACCGGCUAACUUCGUGCCAGCAGCCGCGGUAAUACGAGGGGUGCAAGCGUUAAUCGGAAUUACUGGGCGUAAAGCGUACGUAGGCGGUUUGAUAAGCAAGAUGUGAAAGCCCAGGGCUCAACCUUGGAACUGCAUUUUGAACUGUCAGACUAGAGUACUGUAGAGGGUGGUGGAAUUUCCAGUGUAGCGGUGAAAUGCGUAGAGAUUGGAAGGAACAUCAGUGGCGAAGGCGGCCACCUGGACAGAUACUGACGCUGAGGUACGAAAGCGUGGGGAGCGAACAGGAUUAGAUACCCUGGUAGUCCACGCCGUAAACGAUGUCAACUAGCCGUUUGUUUCCUAGAGAAGUGAGUGGCGCAGCU